GACAGAGGGUGCAAACGUUGUUCGGAAUUACUGGGCGUAAAGCGCGUGUAGGCGGCAGGGCAAGUCGGAUGUGAAAGCCCACGGCUCAACCGUGGAAGUGCACCCGAAACUGCCCCGCUAGAGUCUCGGAGAGGAAGGUGGAAUGCUUGGUGUAGAGGUGAAAUUCGUAGAUAUCAAGCGGAACUCCGGUGGCGAAGGCGGCGUGCUGGACCCCAUCUGACGCUGAGGCGCGAAAGCCAGGGGAGCAAACGGG
rnacentral:rRNA from 1 species